rnacentral:rRNA from 1 species
GCAUAAGAAGCACCGGCUAACUACGUGCCAGCAGCCGCGGUAAUACGUAGGGUGCGAGCGUUAAUCGGAAUUACUGGGCGUAAAGCGUGCGCAGGCGGUUUUUCAAGUCUGAUGUGAAAGCCCCGGGCUUAACCUGGGAACUGCGUUGGAAACUGAAAGACUAGAGUGCGGCAGAGGGGGGUAGAAUUCCACGUGUAGCAGUGAAAUGCGUAGAUAUGUGGAGGAAUACCGAUGGCGAAGGCAGCCCCCUGGGUCGACACUGACGCUCAUGCACGAAAGCGUGGGUAGCAAACAGGAUUAGAUACCCUGGUAGUCCACGCCCUAAACGAUGUCAACUAGUUGUUGGGGAGGGAGACCUCCUUAGUAACGCAGCUAACGCGUGAAGUUGACCGCCUGGGGAGUACGGUCGCAAGAUUAAAACUCAAAGGAAUUGACGG